CCUACGGGUGGCAGCAGUGGGGAAUAUUGGGCAAUGGAGGAAACUCUGACCCAGCAAUGCCGCGUGAAUGAAGAAGGCCUUCGGAUUGUAAAGUUCUUUAGUCAGGGAAGAAUAAAAUGACGGUACCUGAAGAAUAAGCUCCGGCUAACUACGUGCCAGCAGCCGCGGUAAUACGUAGGGAGCAAGCGUUGUUCGGAAUGACUGGGCGUAAAGGGUGCGUAGGCGGUUAUACAAGUUAGAAGUGAAAUACCCCGGGCUUAACUCGGGUGCUGCUUCUAAAACUGUAAGAUUUGAGUGCAGUAGAGGGGAGUGGAAUUCCUGGGGUAGCGGUGAAAGGCGUAGAUAUUAGGAGGAACACCAGGGGCGAAGGCGGCUACCUGGACUGAGACUGACGCUGAGGCGCGAAAGUGUGGGGAGCAAACAGGAUUAGAUACCCUUGUAGUC
rnacentral:rRNA from 1 species